rnacentral:rRNA from 1 species
AUUUGACCUCAAAUCAGGUAGGACUACCCGCUGAACUUAAGCAUAUCAAUAAGCGGAGGAAAAGAAACUAACAAGGAUUCCCCUAGUAACUGCGAGUGAAGCGGGAAAAGCUCAAAUUUAAAAUCUGGUGGUCUCUGGCCAUCCCGAGUUGUAAUCUAAAGAAGUGUUACCCGCGCUGGACCGUGUACAAGUCUCCUAAA